rnacentral:rRNA from 1 species
UACGGAGGGUGCAAGCGUUAUCCGGAAUCAUUGGGUUUAAAGGGUCCGCAGGCGGAUUUAUAAGUCAGUGGUGAAAGCCUACAGCUUAACUGUAGAACUGCCAUUGAUACUGUAAGUCUUGAAUUCGGUCGAAGUGGGCGGAAUGUGUAGUGUAGCGGUGAAAUGCAUAGAUAUUACACAGAACACCGAUAGCGAAGGCAGCUCACUAGGCCUGGAUUGACGCUCAGGGACGAAAGCGUGGGGAUCAAACAGG